GUGGAUUAGAUACCCGGGUAGUCCUGGCAGUAAACGGUGCUCGCUUGGUAUGCGCGGUUUCGACCCCGUGCGUGCCGGAGCUAACGCGUUAAGCGAGCCGCCUGGGAAGUACGGUCGCAAGAUUAAAACUCAAAGAAAUUGACGGGGACCCGCACAAGCGGUGGAGUAUGUGGCUUAAUUCGAUGCAACGCGAAGAACCUUACCUGGGCUUGACAUGCAUCGCUAAUCGCGUGAAAGCGCGUGAGUGGAGCAAUCCACACUUUGCACAGGUGCUGCACGGUUGUCGCCAGCU
rnacentral:rRNA from 1 species